UACGGGGGGGGCAAGCGUUGUUCGGAAUUACUGGGCGUAAAGGGCUCGUAGGCGGCCAACUAAGUCAGACGUGAAAUCCCUCGGCUUAACCGGGGAACUGCGUCUGAUACUGGAUGGCUUGAGUUUGGGAGAGGGAUGCGGAAUUCCAGGUGUAGCGGUGAAAUGCGUAGAUAUCUGGAGGAACACCGGUGGCGAAGGCGGCAUCCUGGACCAACACUGACGCUGAGUGAAGCGAAAGUGUGGGGAGCAAACAGG
rnacentral:rRNA from 1 species